UACGUAGGUGGCAAGCGUUGUCCGGAUUUACUGGGCGUAAAGAGCGCGCAGGCGGUCGUUCAAGUCGCGUGUGAAAGCCCCCGGCUCAACUGGGGAGGGUCACGCGAUACUGAUCGACUCGAAGGCAGGAGAGGGUAGUGGAAUUCCCGGUGUAGUGGUGAAAUGCGUAGAUAUCGGGAGGAACACCAGUGGCGAAGGCGACUACCUGGCCUGUUCUUGACGCUGAGGCGCGAAGGCUAGGGGAGCAAACAGG
rnacentral:rRNA from 1 species